ACGGCUCAGUAACACGUGGAUAACCUACCCUUGAGACGGGGAUAAACCCGGAAAACUGGGUAUAAUACCCGAUAGAUCUCGACUGCUGGAAUGCAUCGAGCUUGAAAGCUCCGGCGCUCAAGGAUGGGUCUGCGGCCUAUCAGGUAGUAGUGGGUGUAGCGUACCUACUAGCCUACGACGGGUACGGGUUGUGAGAGCAAGAGCCCGGAGAUGGAUUCUGAGACACGAAUCCAGGCCCUACGGGGUGCAGCAGGCGCGAAAACUUUACAAUGCUGGAAACAGCGAUAAGGGGACCUCGAGUGCCAGGUUACAAAUCUGGCUGUCGUGGUGCCUAAAAAGCAUUGCAUAGCAAGGGCCGGGCAAGACCGGUGCCAGCCGCCGCGGUAACACCGGCGGCUCGAGUGGUAACCGUUAUUAUUGGGUCUAAAGGGUCUGUAGCCGGCCGGAUAAGUCUCUUGGGAAAUCUGGCAGCUUAACUGUCAGGCUUUCAGGAGAUACUGUCUGGCUCGAGGCCGGGAGAGGUGAGAGGUACUUCAGGGGUAGGGGUGAGAUCUUGUAAUCCUUGAAGGACCACCAGUGGCGAAGGCGUCUCACCAGAACGGACCUGACGGCAAGGGACGAAAGCUAGGGGCACGAACCGGAUUAGAUACCCGGGUAGUCCUAGCCGUAAACGAUACUCGCUAGGUGUCGGCAACGGUGCGACCGUUGUCGGUGCCGUAGGGAAGCCGUGAAGCGAGCCACCUGGGAAGUACGGCCGCAAGGCUGAAACUUAAAGGAAUUGGCGGGGGAGCAC
rnacentral:rRNA from 1 species